AUGCUCUCUUCUUUGCGAGUUUUCAUAAAUGAGAGAUGGAUCGGAAGAAGCAACAGAGAUCGAGAUCUCAUGCCGGACCAGUUGAAGAUCAACGGUUUUGCGCCACGAAUCCUACCUGCCACCCUAAUUUUUCAUCAAUUCACUUCUCUAAAUCCAUAUAUACAAGUAUCAUAUGUGUGUUUCUACAUCUUUUUAUCCCUAAUUUGAACCCUAUCGUCAACGAAUUGUGUUCUUAAAAAUGGGUCAGGUGUCAGUCAUCGUAGCUCUGAUCGUCGUCUGUGCCGUCGGCGAAUCUUCGAGAGGGAUCGGAUCCAUCUUUGCCGUCAUGUUUGAGAAAGUUGUUGGUGAUCACAAUUGCUAUCUUAAUACUUGAUAUUUUUCUUAUCUUUGUAGGAAGGGUUUGAGUCAACUGAGAGUGGAAUUGAUGUCUUCUUCUGCAACUAUUAUUAUAUAUCGAGUUAUGCUCGAUUCCUCACAUCCGACACAUCAAUGGCUUCCCGCGACUCCGCUGGGUAAUUGAUAAAUUGUGCACUGCAGAUGGCAUAUAGAGAUCUGUGAGCGGAUGAAGGUGAUGUGUGUUGUUCGUGGAAGUGACGGUAGUGAUGGUGCAUGGUAGUGUGACGGUACGGCGGUAUAUUUUGCCCUUCCUGAUUCACCCUGAUGUUGGCAUCGUUUCCACUAAACUGUUUCACCAAAGGAUAGAAUUACAAACAGCUGGUGAUUAAGAUAAUUGAAAUACCAAGGUGCUCAUAUGAAGUGACAUUAUAACUUUUCGAAUCCUACAUGUUUUCCUUUUUUUCGUAAUCUUUCACAACUCUCAACACGAUUGUGAGCCUAAUGAAACUGAUCUGGACAUGUGAACUUACAGAGAAUGUUACCCAACUAUUCAUCAAAUAACCCAGUCGGGAUAUGGAACUUUUCUUCUGUGUACGGUCUUGAUAUGUUCGAGGCAAAAGUUCGUGGUGAAUUCGGCAUCGGAUUGAAUAUUCAGAUUUUGGAUGAUGUUAAGUUGGAUGUCUUUAUCUUACAUGAAUUUGGACAAGAUAGAGAUAGUUAACGUUCCACCACAUUUGGUGUAUGCGUGUUCGAAAGCGAGUCGGAUCGACAAAUAUAAUACAUUUUUUUUGAUGGCGACGUAAUUUUUUUUUUUCAAAAAUGAGUCGUGUCAAAUAUAGCGUAUGAUUCCGAGUUACUAUAACUUUUGACGCCGCCGCAACGCGCGGCGGGUCAAAAUCCUAGUUGU